rnacentral:rRNA from 1 species
UACGGGGGGAGCAAGCGUUGUUCGGAUUUACUGGGCGUAAAGGGCGCGUAGGCGGUCAGCACAAGUCAGUUGUGAAAUCUCCGAGCUUAACUCGGAACGGUCAACUGAUACUGUGCGACUAGAGUGCGGAAGGGGCAACUGGAAUUCCUGGUGUAGCGGUGGAAUGCGCAGAUAUCAGGAGGAACACCGGUGGCGAAGGCGGAUCUCUGGGCCAUAACUGACGCUGAGGAGCGAAAGCAUGGGGAGCGAACAGG